AGAAAACAUAUUAAAUAUUGAUUAUAAAUGUAUUAUUUUUAGUGUUUUACAGUUUUUUAUAACUCUAAACCAAUGAUAAUUAACUAUUUUUCUUGAAAAUUAUAAUUCACCAAUACUAACUAAUAAAUAUUACAUGGAAAACAUAAAAAAAUCAAUCUUUUAGAAACAAUUUUUUUUUCUAAACAAUCAAACAAAAAGGAACAGAUGGAGUAUAAAACUAGUAACCCGCGGUAAAGCGUGAGACUAU
rnacentral:sRNA from 1 species